rnacentral:rRNA from 1 species
UCUCCUUUGAGGGUCGUCAUAGACGAUGACGUUGAUAGGAGGCAGGUGUAAAGAUGGUGACAUCAAAGCCGAGCCUUACUAAUUGCCCGAAACUUUCCGUAUG